CAGAUCUGUUAAAGACACAUAUAAGGAAGUCAAACUGACAGUAUCUAAUGCCUUGGACACAAACAGACCCACAACUCCUAAACCAGCAGCAAGUUCUCAAUCCUCCAUGACACAAAGUUCAUUCUCCACAUCUUCAGCAUCUGCUGACACCACAACCUCAUCUUCAACAGGAUUUAAAGGUCCUGUUGUUUCAUCCAAACCAGCAUCUAAUGAGAGCGGUGCACAAUAUUCACUCUCCUCAGUUCCUCUGAUGAUCACAGCCAUUGGUCUGACUGUGAUGGUGAUUAUAUUUGGAGCGGUGGUUUGGAGAAAGUCAC